rnacentral:rRNA from 1 species
CCUACGGGUGGCAGCAGUGAGGAAUAUUGGUCAAUGGGCGUAAGCCUGAACCAGCCAAGUCGCGUGAGGGAUGAAGGUUCUAUGGAUCGUAAACCUCUUUUAUAAGGGGAUAAAGUGCGGGACGUGUCCCGUUUUGUAUGUAUCUUAUGAAUAAGGAUCGGCUAACUCCGUGCCAGCAGCCGCGGUAAUACGGAGGAUCCGAGCGUUAUCCGGAUUUAUUGGGUUUAAAGGGUGCGUAGGCGGCCUUUUAAGUUAGCGGUGAAAGGCUGUGGCUCAACCAUAGAAGUGCCGUUGAAACUGGGAGGCUUGAGUGUGUUUGCGGCAGGCGGAAUGCGUGGUGUAGCGGGGAAAUGCUUAGAUAUCACGCAGAACCCCGAUUGCGAAGGCAGCCUACCAAGCCAUGACUGACGCUGAUGCACGAAAGCGUGGGGAUCAAACAGGAUUAGAUACCCUUGUAGUC